rnacentral:lncRNA from 1 species
AUGCAAAACAAAACUUGUUCCUCCUCCACAAUGACACCCAAAACAGCACAUAGCCUUGGGGACUUCUGCAGGCCAUGUCUAGAAGAGCAGCAUGGAGGACUGCAGAGCACCCUUGGACCUUGGUGUAGAAGAUGGCUGAGCCACCAGGACAGGAGAGAGGCCACCUACAGAAACCAAAUUUGUGCUGAACACAAUGCCAAAACUGUGAUGGAUGGGUGUGCGUGUUUGCUAUUGAAGGACUUCUCACAACACUCAAGGCAAAGAUGGAAGCUACUUCUCCCAUGAAGGGUAACCGCAUGUGAAGAGAGAGAUUCCAA